rnacentral:rRNA from 1 species
AUUGAACGCUGGCGGCAGGCUUAACACAUGCAAGUCGAGCGAGCGGCGGACGGGUGAGUAAUGUCUGGGAAACUGCCUGAUGGAGGGGGAUAACUACUGGAAACGGUAGCUAAUACCGCAUACCAUCAGAUGUGCCCAGAUGGGAUUAGCUAGUGGGUGGGGUAAUGGCUCACCAAGGCGACGAUCCCUAGCUGGUCUGAGAGGAUGACAGGCCACACUGGAACUGAGACAGGGUCCAGACUCCUACGGGAGGCAGCAGUGGGGAAUAUUGCACAAUGGGCGAAAGCCGAAUAAAGCCAUGCCGCGUGUGUGAAGAAGGCCUGCGGGUUGUAAAGCACUUUCAGCGAGGAGGCGUUACUCGCAGAAGAAGCGACGGCUAACUCCGUGCCAGCAGCCGCGGUAAUUC